rnacentral:misc_RNA from 1 species
AUUCUAACCCUUACCCGUCAUCCGGGAAGGAGACAGUUUCAGGGGGGCAGUUUGACUGGGGCGGUCGCCUCCCAAAAGGUAACGGAGGCGCUCAAAGGUUCUCUCAGCACGGUCGGAAAUCGUGCACAGAGUGUAAAGGCAUAAGAGAGCUUGAUUGCAAGACAUACAGGUCGAGCAAGGUAGAAAUACGGACUUAGUGAUCCGGUGGUUCUGAGUGGAAGGGCCAUCGCUCAACGGAUAAAAGCUACCCUG